rnacentral:antisense_RNA from 1 species
UGAGUUGCAAAUCAGAAACUUGAAGAUGAAAUGGCUGCUACGCUGGGUAUUGCCUUUAUCUUGAAUGCCAGCCUGAUGGUCCAAAGUGAACAAGCCUUCCUGUGUUUUCUGAAUGUGCAGUUCCCCCGCACUUUGCCUGCCACCAUGUAAGAUGUGUCUUUGCGCCUCCUUUGCCUUCCACCAUGAUUGUGCGGCCUCCCCAGCCAUGUGGAACGGUGUCUGGGGUCUGUCAGGAUCAACAGGCCUUGAGAGAGACUGACCCAGAGGACUACUAAAAGGGACACCUGCCCAGGCCAGCCUAUUCUACCAUCCUCGUUCUCCUGCAAAACCAAGGCCACGUCAUUUCAGCAGAGGACCUGAGUGUGGAAGGACCCUGCAGCUGGCCCAUCACAGGAGAGGCCCAGACUCACCUCCCAAGGGGACCCUGGCACAUGAAGAUGCUGGUUCUCCUGGGAGUGCUGCCCUGGCCCACAGGAUAGAAGCGCAGGAUGGUCACCCACGUCUGCUCUUAUUGAAUGUGUCUUAGAAGCGG